ACAUGGUCAAGCAGGCACUCACGGGCACACGGCGAGAGGGGCUGGUGGUGCUUGGGCACCCCCACACCCCGGCAGGAACUCCGGGGUGCUCUCGGAGCCUGCUACCCUGCCCGGAGGGAUCCUCAAGCUUUCUACUGGAGCCAGUUUGGCAUCUGCUCCCUAAGAGGGGAAACUGAGGCACGGGGGAAGGAAAGGGGCAAAAACAUUCUGUGUCUGGCUGACUCUGCCGGGAGCUGAAACCCAGGACUCCCGGGGCUGUGCCCGGUGGUGCCCUCAGAACUCCUCGUGUGUCAAUGCCACCGCCUGUCGCUGCAAUCCAGGGUUCAGCUCUUUUUCUGAGAUCAUCACCACCCCCACGGAGACUUGUGAUGACAUCAACGAGUGUGCAACACCGUCGAAAGUGUCAUGCGGAAGAUUCUCGGACUGCUGGAACACAGAGGGGAGCUACGACUGCGUGUGCAGCCCAGGAUAUGAGCCUGUUUCUGGGGCAAAAACAUUCAAGAAUGAGAGCGAGAACACGUGUCAAGAUGUGGACGAAUGUCAGCAGAACC
rnacentral:sRNA from 1 species